AAUCGCGGAUCAGCUACGCCGGGGUGAAUAUGUUCCUGAGCCUUGUACACACCGCCCGUCAAGCCACGAAAGAGGGGGGCAUCCUAAGUCGCUGAGCUAUCCUUCGGGAAGCAGGCGCCUAAGAUGAACUCCUUGAUUGGGACUAAGUCGUAACAAGGUAGCCGUAGGGGAACCUGCGGCUGGAUCACCUCCUUU
rnacentral:rRNA from 1 species